rnacentral:rRNA from 1 species
AACGAACGCUGGCGGCAUGCCUAACACAUGCAAGUCGAACGAGACCUUCGGGUCUAGUGGCGCAUGGGUGCGUAACGCGUGGGAACCUGCCCUUAGGUUCGGAAUAACUCCCCGAAAGGGGUGCUAAUACCGGAUAAUGUCUUCGGACCAAAGAUUUAUCGCCUUUGGAUGGGCCCGCGUUGGAUUAGCUAGGUGGUAGGGUAAAAGCCUACCAAGGCGACGAUCCAUAGCUGGUCUGAGAGGAUGAUCCGCCACACUGGGGCUAGGACAUGGCCCAGACUACUGCGCAAGGCAGCAGUGGGUGAUAUUGGACUAUCGGCUAAAUCAUGAUCCAGCACUGCCGCGUGAGUGAUGAAGGCCUUAGGGUUGUGAAGCUCUUUUACCCGGGAUGAUAAUGACGGUACCGGAAGAAUAAGCUCCGGCUAACUCCGUG